rnacentral:rRNA from 1 species
UACGGAGGGUGCGAGCGUUGUCCGGAAUCAUUGGGCGUAAAGGGCGCGUAGGUGGCGGGACAAGCGUGCGGUGAAAGCCUGGGGCUCAACCCUGGGUCGGCCGUGCGAACUGUUUUGCUUGAGCACUGUAGAGGCAGGCGGAAUUCCGGGUGUAGCGGUGGAAUGCGUAGAGAUCCGGAAGAACACCGGUGGCGAAGGCGGCCUGCUGGGCAGUAGCUGACACUGAGGCGCGACAGCGUGGGGAGCAAACAGG